rnacentral:rRNA from 1 species
AUUGAACGCUGGCGGCAGGCCUAACACAUGCAAGUCGAGCGAGCGGCGGACGGGUGAGUAAUGUCUGUGAAACUGCCUGAUGGAGGGGGAUAACUACUGUAGACGGUGUAUAAACCCGCAUACCCUCAGAUGUGCCCAGAUGGGAUUGGAUCGUGGGUGGGGUAAUGGCUCACCUAGGCGACGAUCCCUAGCUGGUCUGAGAGGAUGACCAGCCACACUGGAACUGAGACACGGCCCAGACGCCUACGGGAGGCAGCAGUGGGGAAUAUUGCACAAUGGGCGCAAGCCUGAUGCAGCCAUGCCGCGUGUGUGAAGAAGGCCUUCGGGUUGUAAAGCACUUUCAGCGGGGAGGCGUUACCCGCAGAAGAAGCACCGGCUAACUCCGUGCCAGCAGCCGCGGUAAUAC